GCCCAAGACCAACCCUACAGUAGGACCCCUAUACCCCUUUUCAGCUCAUUCUGUGGCUUGUCUCCUUUACAGAGGCAGGUUCCCCUCCCUUAAACACUUUGUUCUUCAGCAAGGUUCUCUGCCAGGGCUCUCCAUUCUCACGUCUCCGAGCUAGCAAAACUCCCUUUUUUUCCAGCUCACUGUCAGAGUUCCUGGAGCUGUGGUACUAUAUAGUUAGGGUCUGGUUGCUUUUGGUGCUCAAACAGAGAUGGGAAUACUUUUGGAGGUAGGCCUGAUGGUGGUAGCAGUGCAGCCUAGUGAGCCCGUGGAUAUGGCCUUCGAAGAAGUUCUAUGACCCUAGUGCCUUGUAAUUCCAUGCUCUUAGAACAUUUCUUUUGCACAACUGUUAAACUUUAGAUUUGGUUUUGAUUAUGGCAUGGUUGUAUGCCCAGGUUUCUCUCUAAGUACUCCUAUGGAUGACUGUUAAAGUACAUUCCUUAACUCUAAUUUCUUUU